ACGCUGGCGGCAGGCCUAACACAUGCAAGUCGAGCGGCAGCGGGAAGUAGUUUACUACUUUGCCGGCGAGCGGCGGACGGGUGAGUAAUGUCUGGGGAUCUGCCUGAUGGAGGGGGAUAACUACUGGAAACGGUAGCUAAUACCGCAUGACCUCGCAAGAGCAAAGUGGGGGACCUUAGGGCCUCACGCCAUCGGAUGAACCCAGAUGGGAUUAGCUAGUAGGUGGGGUAAUGGCUCACCUAGGCGACGAUCCCUAGCUGGUCUGAGAGGAUGACCAGCCACACUGGAACUGAGACACGGUCCAGACUCCUACGGGAGGCAGCAGUGGGGAAUAUUGCACAAUGGGCGCAAGCCUGAUGCAGCCAUGCCGCGUGUGUGAAGAAGGCCUUCGGGUUGUAAAGCACUUUCAGCGAGGAGGAAGGGGUUGAGUUUAAUACGCUCA
rnacentral:rRNA from 1 species